UACGGAGGGGACUAGCGUUGUUCGGAAUUACUGGGCGUAAAGCGCACGUAGGCGGAUUUGUAAGUCAGGGGUGAAAGCCCGGGGCUCAACUCCGGAACUGCCUUUGAAACUAGAUUGCUAGAAUCUUGGAGAGGCGAGUGGAAUUCCGAGUGUAGAGGUGAAAUUCGUAGAUAUUCGGAAGAACACCAGUGGCGAAGGCGACUCGCUGGACAAGUAUUGACGCUGAGGUGCGAAAGCGUGGGGAGCAAACAGG
rnacentral:rRNA from 1 species